rnacentral:rRNA from 1 species
AGUGAACGCUGGCGGCAGGCCUAACACAUGCAAGUCGAACGGCAGCACAGUAAGAGCUUGCUCUUACGGGUGGCGAGUGGCGGACGGGUGAGGUAUACAUCGGAAUCUACUUUUUCGUGGGGGAUAACGUAGGGAAACUUACGCUAACACCGCAUACGACCUACGGGUGAAAGCAGGGGAUCUUCGGACCUUGCGCGAUUGUAUGAGCCGAUGUCGGAUUAGCUAGUUGGCGGGGUAAAGGCCCACCAAGGCGACGAUCCGUAGCUGGUCCGAGAGGAAGAUCAGCCACACUGGAACUGAGACACGGUCCAGACUCCUACGGGAGGCAGCAGUGGGGAAUAUUGGACAAUGGGCGCAAGCCUGAUCCAGCCAUACCGCGUGAGUGAAGAAGGCCUUCGGGUUGUAAAGCCCUUUUGUUGGGAAAGAAAAGCAGCAGGUUAAUACCCCGCUGUUCUGACGGUACCCAAAGAAUAAGCACCGGCUAACUUCGUG